ACCCAGCUGACGAGUCCUGAAUAGGACGAAAUGCGCGUCCUGGAU
rnacentral:hammerhead_ribozyme from 1 species